rnacentral:rRNA from 1 species
CUACGGGUUGCACCAGUGGGGAAUAUUGCACAAUGGGCGAAAGCCUGAUGCAGCAACGCCGCGUGAGGGACGACGGCCUUCGGGUUGUAAACCUCUUUUAGCAGGGAAGAAGCGAAAGUGACGGUACCUGCAGAAAAAGCACCGGCUAACUACGUGCCAGCAGCCGCGGUAAUACGUAGGGUGCAAGCGUUGUCCGGAAUUAUUGGGCGGAAAGAGCUCGUAGGCGGUUUGUCGCGUCUGCUGUGAAAAUCCGAGGCUCAACCUCGGACCUGCAGUGGGUACGGGCAAACUAGAGUGCGGUAGGGGAGAUUGGAAUUCCUGGUGUAGCGGUGGAAUGCGCAGAUAUCAGGAGGAACACCAAUGGCGAAGGCAGAUCUCUGGGCCGUAACUGACGCUGAGGAGCGAAAGCGUGGGGAGCGAACAGGGUUAGAUACCCUAGUAGUC